GCCCUGUGUAUACAAUACUAAUAGCCAGGAUGCCAAACAUGUCAGUCCCCCUCAGUAUAACUGUGGCUGUCCUAGAGAACCUUACUUAGAUAUAAGUCAGAAAUAAGGAAGAGGUCCCUUAUUCUGCUUGAGGCCAAUCAGUGACGCUCCCGUGUGUUCCUGCCAGCAUAGGACCAGAAUGGGUACCUUCUCCAAGCUCCGCAUAGGAGGACCCCAGCUCAAGCCUUCCCUGAGCAUCGCUGGUAGCUCUUGGCUAGUGGGCUGAGGGAGAACCUUCCCCACCCUCCUCCCUGUGCUUCCCUUCCCUCCCCGGGCUGUAUAUUGCACAGGACAAACACUUAGGAGCCAUCGGCUAUGAGUCCCCCUGGGCCUCAGAGGAAGCAGGAGGCACUAGGGUAAGAAGGGAGAUUCUGGGGAUGAGGGACGUUCCAGAAGGCUGCCAAAGCUUCAGGAUGGGUGAGCAGGCUUCUUUCUUCUGGAC
rnacentral:lncRNA from 1 species